AUGGCGAAUUCCUUGAGGCUGUACAUACUUCGGUUUCGUGGGCCGCAGAGCGCCAUCUGCUAUCAGCGGCCAUUUUUACACCGGAAAUACGAAAUGUUGCUACCCGGAAAUACGCGGGCUUGUGGCGCGAAAUCACAGGAUCAACACUGGCUCAGAAGCUCCUGCGGGAGAGACUGUGUCAUCAGAAGCUGCCGGAUCGGCCCGUGGGUCUGGACUCACAGUACAAGCGUUUGAGCAUUUGCUACAGCUGGAGCUGGUGCGUCCGGUGGACUCUGGUGUGUGUAAAGUUCAGCGUGAGUAUCAGCUGAUGCGGCUGAUGCUGGAACACGGUCAGGUGAUGGAGGCGCUGCAGAGGUACCCACAAUGCCCCACAGACGUCAAACAGUGGGCCCUCUCGGCCUUCGGCUGAACACUGCGGCCUGCACAUGCUGAAAUAUGUACAGUUUGUACAUUUAAAUUGUAUAUAGUUUUUUUCUUUUUUUGCAAUAAAAAUGUUACCAGAAUUUCCAAUUUGUAAAGUCAAUUUUGGGUAGUUGACUUGACAAUAUUAUGGAAGCCUGUUU